rnacentral:rRNA from 1 species
UACAGAGGUCUCAAGCGUUGUUUCGGAUUCAUUUGGGCGUAAAGGGUGCGUAGGUGGCGCCGUAAGUCAGGUGUGAAAUUUUCGGAGCUUUAACUCCGAAACUGCAUUUGAUACUGCGGUGCUUUGAGGACUGGAGAGGAGACUGGAAUUCACGGUGUAGCAGUGAAAUGCGUAGAGAUCGUGAGGAAGACCAGUGGCGAAGGCGGGUUGCUGGGCUGACACUGACGCUGAAGCGCGAAAGCUAGGGGAGCGAACGGG